rnacentral:rRNA from 1 species
GACGAACGCUGGCGGCGUGCUGAACACAUGCAAGUCGAGCGGAAAGGCCCUUCGGGGUACUCGAGCGGCGAACGGGUGAGUAACACGUGAGUAACCUGCCCUAGGCUUUGGGAUAACCCCGGGAAACCGGGGCUAAUACCGGAUAUGACCUGGUGCCGCAUGGUGUUGGGUGGAAAGUUUUUUCGGCCUGGGAUGGGCUCGCGGCCUAUCAGCUUGUUGGUGGGGUGAUGGCCUACCAAGGCGAUGACGGGUAGCCGGCCUGAGAGGGCGACCGGCCACACUGGGACUGAGACACGGCCCAGACUCCUACGGGAGGCAGCAGUGGGGAAUAUUGCACAAUGGGCGGAAGCCUGAUGCAGCGACGCCGUGUGAGGGAUGAAGGCCUUCGGGUUGUAAACCUCUUUCAGCAGGGACGAAGCGUGAGUGACGGUACCUGCAGAAGAAGCGCCGGCCAACUACGUG